rnacentral:rRNA from 1 species
UGGGGAAUAUUGCACAAUGGGCGCAAGCCUGAUGCAGCCAUGCCGCGUGUGUGAAGAAGGCCUUCGGGUUGUAAAGUACUUUCAGCGGGGAGGAAGGGAGUAAAGUUAAUACCUUUGCUCAUUGACGUUACCCGCAGAAGAAGCACCGGCUAACUCCGUGCCAGCAGCCGCGGUAAUACGGAGGGUGCAAGCGUUAAUCGGAAUUACUGGGCGUAAAGCGCACGCAGGCGGUCUGUCAAGUCGGAUGUGAAAUCCCCGGGCUCAACCUGGGAACUGCAUUCGAAACUGGCAGGCUAGAGUCUUGUAGAGGGGGGUAGAAUUCCAGGUGUAGCGGUGAAAUGCGUAGAGAUCUGGAGGAAUACCGGUGGCGAAGGCGGCCCCCUGGACAAAGACUGACGCGCAGGUGCGAAAGCGUGGGGAGCAAACAGG